rnacentral:rRNA from 1 species
GAUGAACGCUAGCUACAGGCUUAACACAUGCAAGUCGAGGGGAAACGAUAUUGGAAGCUUGCUUCUGAUAGGCGUCGACCGGCGCACGGGUGAGUAACGCGUAUCCAACCUGCCCAUCACUUGGGGAUAACCUUGUGAAAGUAAGACUAAUACCCAAUGACGUCUCUAGAAGACAUCUGAAAGAGAUUAAAGAUUUAUCGGUGAUGGAUGGGGAUGCGUCUGAUUAGCUUGUUGGCGGGGUAACGGCCCACCAAGGCGACGAUCAGUAGGGGUUCUGAGNGGAAGGUCCCCCACAUUGGAACUGAGACACGGUCCAAACUCCCUACGGGGAGGCAGCAGUGAGGAAUAUUGGUCAAUGGACGAGAGUCUGAACCAGCCAAGUAGCGUGCAGGAUGACGGCCCUAUGGGUUGUAAACUGGCUUUUUAGUAAGGGAAUAAAGUGGGAGUCGUGACUC